AUAUUCAUUUGUCCACAGUGCCCUUUGUUUUCAAUUUAGUUUUUCUUUCAGUGGUAUUUUUGCAUUUCUAUCUAGAGUUUAAAGAGUUUAGGUUAACUGAAGGCUGUGAAGGGAAUGUGGAGGUUUUCUACAAUGGAUCCUGGGGUAAUGUGUGCUGGAACCAGAUGGACAGAGACACAGCGAGUCUGAUCUGUCAAGAGCUGAACUGUGGAAGAUCUGGUGAUUUUUGUCUGAUUCUACAGCAAGAGUGAAAUCAGCUCCUAACUGGCUGGAUAAUUUUAAAUGUCGACCACAUGAUUCCUCUUUAUGGCAGUGUCCAUCUUCACUCUGGGGACAGAAUAACUGUGGUUACGAUGAAGUGGCCAAAAUUACUUGCUCAGCGGAGAGUGAUGAGUCUCCUCGGAGUCGUCUGACAUGUUCAGCAUCUCCUCACCAGAGACAGUGUUCAAAUCAUGUUCCUCUCAGACUGAGUGAAGGUAAGGGCCGGUGCUCUGGG